rnacentral:rRNA from 1 species
GACGAACGCUGGCGGCGUGCUUAACACAUGCAAGUCGAACGGAAAGGCCUGCUUUCCCUUGUGGUUUGCGGGUACUCGAGUGGCGAACGGGUGAGUAACACGUGAGUGAUCUGCCCCCAACUUGGGUAUAAGCCUGGGAAACUGGGUCUAAUUCCCGAUAGGACUGCAGGGUGGUGCCUGUGGUGGAACACGAUUUUCUAGUGGUUGGGGAUGAGCUCGCGGCCUAUCAGCCUGUUGGUGGGGGAAUGGCCUACCAAGGCGGCGACGGGGAGCCGGCCUGGGAGGGUGGACGGCAACAUUGGGACUGGGAUACGGCCCAGACGACUACGGGAGGCAGCAGUUGGGAAUAUUGGACAAUGGGCGGAAGCCUGAUGCAGCGACGCCGCGUGGGGGAUGACGGCCUUCGGGUUGUAAGCUCCUUUCGAACGAGAGGAAGCCACCUGGUUGGAAGGGUGGUGACGGUAGUGGUAGAAGAAGCACCGGCUAACUACGUG